UGGGGAAUAUUGCACAAUGGGGGAAACCCUGAUGCAGCGACGCCGAGUGAACGAAGAAGGUAUUCGUAUCGUAAAGUUCUGUCCUAUGGGAAGAUAAUGACAGUACCAUAGAAGAAAGCUCCGGCUAAAUACGUGCCAGCAGCCGCGGUAAUACGUAUGGAGCGAGCGUUGUCCGGAAUUAUUGGGCGUAAAGGGUACGCAGGCGGUUUAAUAAGUCGAAUGUUAAAGAUCGGGGCUCAACCCCGCAAAGCAUUGGAAACUGAUAAACUUGAGUAGUGGAGAGGAAAGUGGAAUUCCUAGUGUAGUGGUGAAAUACGUAGAUAUUAGGAGGAAUACCAGUAGCGAAGGCGACUUUCUGGACACAAACUGACGCUGAGGUACGAAAGCGUGGGGAGCAAACAGG
rnacentral:rRNA from 1 species